rnacentral:sRNA from 1 species
CCCUAGCCCCGGUUGUCCCGAAGCGUCGGGAGAAAUCCUUUUGCGGCCGCAGCGCAGCGGAGGCCGUAAAAGAUUGCAGCGAAAAACGGGAAAUAGC